GAUGAACGCUGGCGGCGUGCUUAACACAUGCAAGUCGAACGAGAAAUGGAGACGGAAACCUUCGGGCGGAAGGCUUCAUUUCGAGUGGCGGACGGGUGAAUAACGCGUGGGUAACCUGCCUCAUACAGGGGGAUAACAGUUGGAAACGACUGUUAAUACCGCAUAAGACCACAGCACCGCAUGGUGCGGGGGUAAAAACUCCGGUGGUAUGAGAUGGACCCGCGUUCGAUUAGCCAGUUGGCGGGGUAACGGCCCACCAAAGCGACGAUCGAUAGCCGAUCUGAGAGGAUGACCGGCCACAUUGGGACUGAGACACGGCCCAAACUCCUACGGGAGGCAGCAGUGGGGAAUAUUGCACAAUGGGGGAAACCCUGAUGCAGCGACGCCGCGUGAGUGAAGAAGUACUUCGGUAUGUAAAGCUCUAUCAGCAGGGAAGAAAAUGACGGUACCUGAGUAAGAAGCCCCGGCUAACUACGUG
rnacentral:rRNA from 1 species